AUGGUAGUGCAAUGGUCAGCACGCGCCCUCCGCGGGAGCGGUAAGACGCGGGUUCAACUCCCGCCCGAGAUU